GAGGAAUAUUGGUCAAUGGGCGCGAGCCUGAACCAGCCAAGUCGCGUGAAGGAAGAAGGAUCUAUGGUUUGUAAACUUCUUUUGCAGGGGGGUAAAGUGCGGUACGUGUACUGUAUUGUAAGUACCCUGCGAAUAAGCAUCGGCUAACUCCGUGCCAGCAGCCGCGGUAAUACGGAGGAUGCGAGCGUUAUCCGGAUUUAUUGGGUUUAAAGGGUGCGUAGGCUGAAUAUCAAGUCAGCGGUGAAACGUUACAGCUUAACUGUGACCGUGCCGUUGAAACUGUUAUUCUGGAGUGCGAGCGAGGUAGGCGGAAUGUGCCGUGUAGCGGUGAAAUGCAUAGAUAUGGUACAGAACUCCGAUUGCGAAGGCAGCUUACCAGUACGCUACUGACGCUGAGGCACGAAAGCGUGGGUAUCGAAC
rnacentral:rRNA from 1 species